rnacentral:lncRNA from 1 species
GGGGGCUUGUUUCGUUUGUUUCUAAGUCUUUUCUCUUAUCCCUUUUCUCUUUUUUUUAGUGCAUAUUGCUUUCUGAAAAACGUUAGGAGGGAGUAGUUUUUCUUUUUAAUGUUGUUGCUGGAUAAAGUUGUUUUUCACGUGGUUGAAUCACACGAUUGGGAAGUUCUUUUGGGUUUGUAAUUGUGAGGGAGUAUAUUGGUAGUAGUAGUAGGAGGUUUAUUU